rnacentral:lncRNA from 1 species
AACGUUCCAAAGGAAAUUAACAUGGGGCAGGUGGAAAAACAAGCAAGUUAAUUCGCAUUCAAGCUUCAAAUUAAAAAAUAGAAAACAAACCAAUAAUUCACUACUUCAAAUCAAACAAGUUCAUACCUUCUUUUUAGUCUUGGUCUCUUCCUCAUCUUCAUCGUCGUCUUCGUCCUCAUCCUCGUCCUCGUCUUCAUCAUCAUCCUCAGCAUCAUCGUCUUCAUCAUCAUCUUCGUCAUCCAGGUCUCCAAACUCCUCUCCCUGAGCAGCCUCUCCAGUAAACCAUGAUACAGCAUGGGGGAUGAUCUUAUCUCUUAUUGUUGACCUGAAGAAGCAUGAAAAUUCAUUUAAGGGUAUAUUCAAAAAUUACAAAUGCAAAAAACUAUCUAAGUUAUUGUGCUAU